AGGCUAGUGUAUUUUCCCUUAAUGCUUAGAGCAACUACAACUCUCAACUGGGAGAAUGCCAAGAUCGCCAUGUUGAAGGAUUAAUAGAACAAGGAACAACAAAUAUUUGAGUGCAUGAUUGCAAAAUUGUUUGAAGAGUACAAGUUUUUCAACAGAUACCCUGAUAGACAACUUAAGCUUGCUGCUAUUGUCGUUGGUAAUGCCUCUUAUAUCUAUUCAAAACUUUAUUCAUUUUUCCAAAUCAGGAAAUAUGGUUUUUAUAAAUUUGAAAUGACAGGAUUGCUUAUUAAGAAUCAACUCGUGACCCAUCUGACACUUGGAAUUGCAUUACGUGUUGUUUGGAUGCAUUGUGCAAACCUACAUAUUCCAAAAUGUUUGUUUUCGGUACAAAGGCUUUGGAGAAGUUUGUGGAUCGACUGAUUGAGUGGCCUCAAUACUGCAUAUCUUACACAUGUCACAUCUACCUGCUACUCAUUCAGGGCUUGUUGCUUUCAUCAAAAGGGAACUUGCAAGAAUCUCAUUUGGCCACUUGGACCAAUGGUUGGAGAAGUUAGAUCCAGCAUGAUUUCUACUCUAAAUCAAGUCGAUUUAUCAAUUGAAGUUGCCAAAUCAUCACAUCCAGGUGGUCAUUCACGUAUAUUAUCUUAGGUUUGAUAUAUUUUUUAUAUAUAUUUACGAGAUGUUCUUUGCAUCCAUGUUUUGAUAUUAACAGUUUCUUUUGAUAAAUAGUAUGCUGCUCUUCUCCAUCUUCCUUCUGCAACAUUAAGUGGAGAUGAAAAGAUGGCAGCUUUAGGCUUAUAUGAUCAACUUCCAUCUGCUCAAGGACUUCUACAAGCACAAUUACCAUUUAAAUGGUGUUAUUUUUGUCUUUACAGAUACCAACAUCAAGUUUGUGUAUAUUUGUA